rnacentral:rRNA from 1 species
AUACAGAGGGUGCGAGCGUUAAUCGGAAUUACUGGGCGUAAAGCGCGCGUAGGCGGCUUAUUAAGUCAGAUGUGAAAUCCCCGGGCUCAACCUGGGAACUGCAUCUGAUACUGGUAAGCUAGAGUUUUGGAGAGGGAAGUAGAAUUUCAGGUGUAGCGGUGAAAUGCAUAGAGAUCUGAAGGAAUACCAGUGGCGAAGGCGACUUCCUGGCCAAAAACUGACGCUGAGGUGCGAAAGCGUGGGUAGUAAACGGGAUUAGAAACCCUAGUAGUCC